rnacentral:rRNA from 1 species
UGAGGAAUAUUGGUCAAUGGACGCAAGUCUGAACCAGCCAUGCCGCGUGCAGGAUGACGGCUCUAUGAGUUGUAAACUGCUUUUGCAGAAGGGUAAACCCAGGUACGUGUACCUGGCUGAAAGUACUCUGCGAAUAAGGAUCGGCUAACUCCGUGCCAGCAGCCGCGGUAAUACGGAGGAUCCAAGCGUUAUCCGGAUUUAUUGGGUUUAAAGGGUGCGUAGGCGGCUUGAUAAGUUGGAGGUGAAAGCCCGUGGCUCAACCACGGAACUGCCUCCAAUACUGUUGAGCUAGAGAGUAGUUGCUGUGGGCGGAAUGUGUGGUGUAGCGGUGAAAUGCUUAGAGAUCACACAGAACACCGAUUGCGAAAGCAGCUCACAAAGCUAUAUCUGACGCUGAGGCACGAAAGCGUGGGGAGCAAACA